rnacentral:rRNA from 1 species
AACGAACGCUGGCGGCAUGCCUAACACAUGCAAGUCGAACGAGAUCUUCGGGUCUAGUGGCGCACGGGUGCGUAACGCGUGGGAAUCUGCCCUUUGGUUCGGAAUAACAGUUGGAAACGACUGCUAAUACCGGAUGAUGACGAAAGUCCAAAGAUUUAUCGCCAGAGGAUGAGCCCGCGUAGGAUUAGCUAGUUGGUGUGGUAAAGGCGCACCAAGGCGACGAUCCUUAGCUGGUCUGAGAGGAUGAUCAGCCACACUGGGACUGAGACACGGCCCAGACUCCUACGGGAGGCAGCAGUGGGGAAUAUUGGACAAUGGGCGAAAGCCUGAUCCAGCAAUGCCGCGUGAGUGAUGAAGGCCUUAGGGUUGUAAAGCUCUUUUACCCGGGAUGAUAAUGACAGUACCGGGAGAAUAAGCUCCGGCUAACUCCGUGCAGCCGCCGCUGUAAAAC